rnacentral:tRNA from 3 species
GGCUUCGUGGCUUAGUUGGUUAAAGCGCCUGUCUAGUAAACAGGAGAUCCUGGGUUCGAAUCCCAGCGAGGCCU